rnacentral:lncRNA from 1 species
GUACUGUGUUGUGGUGUGGUGGCCUUACAGAGGGUUAGAUGCUGCAGUCUGUACUGUGUUGUGGUGUGGUGGCCUUACAGAGGGUUAGAUGGUGCAGUCUGUACUGUGUUGUGGUGUGGUGGCCUUACAGAGGGUUAGAUGGUGUUGUCUGGGGUUGGUAGAUAAGGUGACAUUAGCUUGGAGUCUGUGGACUGUAGUGUUAUUGUUCUAAGAUUGUAGAGUGGUGUGGAUGGAUGGAUGGAUGGAUGGAUGGAUGGAUAGGUGGUGGGAGUAGAUUAUGAGAAGGAUUCCACAGGUUGUUCUGGUAGAUAAGAUGUAUCAGUCACUGUCUGACAGUGUAUAGGAUGUUUGCUGUAGUGUUGUUAGUGGAGGUUAGGACUAGUAACAGGGAUGUGGAGGUUAGGACUAGUAACAGGGAUGUGGAGGUUAGGACUAGUAACAGGGAUGUGGAGGUUAGGACUAGUAACAGGGAUGUGGAGGUUAGGACUAGUAACAGGGAUGUGGAGGUUAGGACUAGUAACAGGGAUGUGGAGGUUAGGACUAGUAACAGGGAUGUGGAGGUUAGGACUAGUAACAGGGAUGUGGAGGUUAGGACUAGUAACAGGGAUGUUGUGGAGGUUAGGACUAGUAACAGGGAUGUUGUGGAGGUUAGGACUAGUAACAGGGAUGUUGUGGAGGUUAGGACUAGUAACAGGGAUGUUGUAGUGUUUGUGGAGGUUAGGACUAGUAACAGGGUUAAUGAGCCAUGGUGGUGUUGAUGUUGUCUCUAUGGAAGUGCUGCCCUGGAAGUGCAAGGUAGUCAUCCAGUGUUGUAGACCCAGCCGUGCAUUUCUCUCUCUGUCUGUGUCUCUCUCUCGUUCUUUGUCGCUCUCUCUCGCUCGCUCAAUCACUACUCCUCCUCUCUCUCUCCCCUUCAUCUCUCUCUUCAUCUGUCUCUCGGUCUUUCCCUCCAUCUCUCUCUCUGUGUUAGUGAUUACAUCACUCACUCACUCUCUCUCUCUCUCUCUCUCUCUCUGUCUCUCUCUCUCUCUCUCACCCUCUCUGUCUCUCUCUCUCUUGCAUAACCGCCAGCUUUGUUUGCUCCAGCUGAGGACUAAUCUUUCCCGCGAGACAGACUGAAGGAACAAGGGAGAGGAGGAGAGCAGGACAAGCCAACCUUUAUAACCUGACUGGACGCUCUGCCUCGUUAAUUCAAUCAGUCCACCAAUUAAUGGGCUUUAGAGCAGAGCCCUGUUUACAACCACCGUGACCUGUGUGUUUAUGGAGCGGUGUUUUUAAUCUGUGUGUGUGUGUGUGUGUGUGUGUGUGUGUGUGUGUGUGUGGAGAGCAGGCGCAUGGUACUCCCCAUGGUAGCCCAGUCGUACUGAAGGAUAAACAGUGAUUAUCUGGGCUGCCUGGAGAGAGACACAUGCUUAUGUACCACUCUCAGACAGACCACACAUACAUGUGAGGGACACGGUAGCCAAGACAACGCUCUAGCUGCAGUCAGAGGAGAAUAACACAUAAACAAAGACACGCAGAAUCACGUUCAGUCAAGUGUGACUUGUCCUGCCUUUCAUACACGCGUCCACACAGAUACACACACACACAAUGCCGCUGGCGGCGUCUGUGAGGUGAGUGCGAGGCGAAUGUUACGUAAGAAAGAUCAAAGCUACUUAAUCAGCUUUGAGAGAGAUGGGGGAGGAAUGGACAGAGGAGGGAUAGCGGGAAAAUAAAGAAUGGGGAGAGAGAGGGAUAGCAGAGAACAGAGGGUAGAGAAAGUGGUGACAGGCGGUGACACUGCGCGUGUCCUCGUUCCCUGUUUACGAUGGGAUAAUCUCACACACACACACACACAAACACACAAGCUGUGCUCUGUCCUCCGUGUCCCCCUCACAGCCCACUGUGACAUGCUGUUGCCAAUGCCACGAUAGCGUGUGUGUGUGUGGUGUGUGUGUGUGUGUGUGUGUGUGUGUGGUGUCUGUCUCUUCUUUUCCUAUAUGCCUAUUCCAUAUCUCUUUCUCUCCCCCUCCCUCUCUUUGUAAACCCUUUCUUUGCUUACCCUUUACCUCCUCCCUCUCUUCUCUCUCGCCCACUACGUCUCUCUUACAGGAAUUGUUAGCAGAUGUGGACAGAGCUUUUUCCUUCAUCUAAAAUUAGCCCCAAUAGAAGAAUGGCAG